UACGAAGGGGGCUAGCGUUGCUCGGAAUUACUGGGCGUAAAGGGUGCGUAGGCGGGUCUUUAAGUCAGGGGGGAAAUCCUGGAGCUCAACUCCAGAACUGCCUUUGAUACUGAAGAUCUUGAGUUCGGGAGAGGUGAGUGGAACUGCGAGUGUAGAGGUGAAAUUCGUAGAUAUUCGCAAGAACACCAGCGGCGAAGGCGGCUCACUGGCCCGAUACUGACGCUGAGGCACGAAAGCGUGGGGAGCAAACAGG
rnacentral:rRNA from 1 species